GAUGAACGCUGGCGGCGUGCCUAAUACAUGCAAGUCGAGCGAACAGACGAGGAGCUUGCUCCUCUGACGUUAGCGGCGGACGGGUGAGUAACACGUGGAUAACCUACCUAUAAGACUGGGAUAACUUCGGGAAACCGGAGCUAAUACCGGAUAAUAUAUUGAACCGCAUGGUUCACUAGUGAAAGACGGUUUUGCUGUCACUUAUAGAUGGAUCCGCGCCGCAUUAGCUAGUUGGUAAGGUAACGGCUUACCAAGGCAACGAUGCGUAGCCGACCUGAGAGGGUGAGCGGCCACACUGGAACUGAGACACGGUCCAGACUCCUACGGGAGGCAGCAGUAGGGAAUCUUCCGCAAUGGGCGAAAGCCUGACGGAGCAACGCCGCGUGAGUGAUGAAGGUCUUCGGAUCGUAAAACUCUGUUAUUAGGGAAGAACAAAUGUGUAAUUAACUAUGCACGUCUUGACGGUACCUAAUCAGAAAGCCACGGCUAACUACGUG
rnacentral:rRNA from 1 species